rnacentral:rRNA from 1 species
CAAAUGAAGAGUUUGAUCCUGGCUCAGGAUGAACGCUGGCGGCGUGCCUAAUACAUGCAAGUCGAACGCUGGAGAUCUAGCUUGCUAGAUUGAAGGAGUGGCGAACGGGUGAGUAAUACAUAAGCAACCUACCCACGAAGACUGGGAUAAUCUCUGGAAACGGGGACUAAUACCGGAUAGGUAAUCGGAAGGCAUCUUCUGGUUAUUAAAGGUUAAAAACACUGGUGGAUGGGCUUAUGGCGCAUUAGUUAGUUGGUGAGGUAACGGCCCACCAAGACGAUGAUGCGUAGCCGGCCUGAGAGGGUGAACGGCCNNNNNNNNNGCAGUAGGGAAUUUUCGGCAAUGGGGGAAACCCUGACCGAGCAACGCCGCGUGAGUGAUGACGGCCUUCGGGUUGUAAAGCUCUGUUGUAAGGGAAGAACGGUAGAUAGAGAAUAUCUAAGUGACGGUACCUUACCAGAAAGCCACGGCUAACUACGUGCCAGCAGCCGCGGUAAUACGUAGGUGGCGAGCGUUAUCCGGAAUUAUUGGGCGUAAAGGGUGCGUAGGCGGCCUGUUAAGUAAGUGGUUAAAUUGUUGGGCUCAACCCAAUCCAGCCACUUAAACUGGCAGGCUAGAGUAUUGGAGAGGCAAGUGGAAUUCCAUGUGUAGCGGUAAAAUGCGUAGAUAUAUGGAGGAACACCAGUGGCGAAGGCGGCUUGCUAGCCAAAGACUGACGCUCAUGCACGAAAGCGUGGGGAGCAAAUAGGAUUAGAUACCCUAGUAGUCCACGCCGUAAACGAUGAAUACUAAGUAUUGGGGAAACUCAGUGCUGCAGCUAACGCAAUAAGUAUUCCGCCUGUGGAGUAUGCACGCAAGUGUGAAACAUAAAGGAAUUGACGGGGGCCCGCACAAGCGGUG